CCUACGGGAGACAGCAGUAGGGAAUUUUGCACAAUGGGCGAAAGCCUGACGCAGCGACGCCGCGUGAUUGAUUAAGCCCUUCGGGGUGUAAAGAUCUGUCAGAGGGGACGAAACUUUACGGUACCCAAAGAGGAAGCACCGGCUAACUCCGGGCAAGCAGCCGAGGUAAUCCGGAGGGUGCAAGCGUUGUCCGGAAUCAUUGGGCGGAAAGGGUUCGUAGGUGUCAUGUUAAGUCUGUUGUUAAAUGCAGAGGGUCAACCUCUGGUCGGCACUGGAUACUGGUAAGCUUGAGUGCGGUAGAGGUAAGGGGAAUUCCUGGUGUAGCGGUGAAAUGCGUAGAUAUCGAGAGGAACACUCGUGGCGAAGGCGGGUUACUGGACAUUAACUGACGCUGAGGCACGAAGGCGAGGGGAGCGAACGGGAUUAGAUACCCCAGUAGUC
rnacentral:rRNA from 1 species